GGCCCCGAGGUGAAUUUUCAUGUUGAAUUGCAAGUUCGGAGAAGCAGCUUCAAUACUGCCGGGGCUU
rnacentral:tRNA from 1 species